CUAUUACUCCCUCUGUUUGGAAUUACUUGUCAUAAAAAUGAAUGUAUCUACAACUAAAAUACAUUUAGAUACAUUCAUUUCUUGGACGAGUAAUUCCGAACGGAGGAAGUAUUUC
rnacentral:pre_miRNA from 1 species